rnacentral:rRNA from 1 species
UUGGGAAUAUUGGACAAUGGGGGAAACCCUGAUCCAGCAAUGCCGCGUGGGUGAUGAAGGCCUUCGGGUUGUAAAGCCCUUUUGGCGGGGACGAUGAUGACGGUACCCGCAGAAUAAGCCCCGGCUAACUUCGUGCCAGCAGCCGCGGUAAUACGAAGGGGGCUAGCGUUGUUCGGAAUUACUGGGCGUAAAGGGCGCGUAGGCGGCUGUGCAAGUCAGGUGUGAAAGCCCUGGGCUCAACCCAGGAUGUGCACUUGAUACUGCACGGCUAGAGUGUCGGAGAGGAUGGUGGAAUUCCCAGUGUAGAGGUGAAAUUCGUAGAUAUUGGGAAGAACACCGGUGGCGAAGGCGACCAUCUGGACGACAACUGACGCUGAGGCGCGAAAGCGUGGGGAGCAAACAGGAUUAGAUACCCCGGUAGUCC